rnacentral:rRNA from 1 species
AACCUGGCGGCGAGUGGCGAACGGGUGAGUAACAUAUCGGAACGUGCCCUGGAGUGGGGGAUAACGUAGCGAAAGUUACGCUAAUACCGCAUACGAUCUAAGGAUGAAAGUGGGGGAUCGCAAGACCUCAUGCUCCUGGAGCGGCCGAUAUCUGAUUAGCUAGUUGGUGGGGUAAAAGCCUACCAAGGCGACGAUCAGUAGCUGGUCUGAGAGGACGACCAGCCACACUGGAACUGAGACACGGUCCAGACUCCUACGGGAGGCAGCAGUGGGGAAUUUUGGACAAUGGGCGAAAGCCUGAUCCAGCAAUGCCGCGUGUGUGAAGAAGGCCUUCGGGUUGUAAAGCACUUUUGUCAGGAACGAAACGGUCUGGGCUAAUAUCCUGGGCUAAUGACGGUACCUGAAGAAUAAGCACCGGCUAACUACGUGCCAGCAGCCGCGGUAAUACGUAGGGUGCAAGCGUUAAUCGGAAUUACUGGGCGUAAAGCGUGCGCAGGCGGUUAUGUAAGACAGAUGUGAAAUGCCCGGGCUUAACCUGGGGACUGCAUUUGUGACUGCAUGGCUAGAAUCUGGCAGAGGGGGGUAGAAUUCCACGUGUAGCAGUGAAAUACGUAGAGAUGUGGAGGAACACCGAUGGCGAAGGCAGCCCCCUGGGCUAAGAUUGACGCUCAUGCACGAAAGCGUGGGGAGCAAACAGGAUUAGAUACCCUGGUAGUCCACGCCCUAAACGAUGUCUACUAGUUGUCGGGUCUUAAUUGACUUGGUAACGCAGCUAACGCGUGAAGUAGACCGCCUGGGGAGUACGGUCGCAAGAUUAAAACUCAAAGGAAUUGACGGGGACCCGCACAAGCGGUGGAUGGAUGUGGAUUAAUUCGAUGCAACGCGAAAACCUUACCUACCCUUGACAUGGCUGGAAUCCCCGAGAGAUUGGGGAGUGCUCGAAAGAGAACCAGUACACAGUGCUGCAUGGCUGU